GUGAGGAAAGAAGUAUGGAAGGAGGAGGGAGCAAAGAAAGAGGGAAGGAGGGGAAGAAUGAAGGAAAAAUUAAAGAAAGAGGGAGAAGAAAGGAAGGAUGUGAGGAAAGAAGUAUGGAAGGAGGAGGGAGCAAAGAAAGAGGGAAGGAGGGGAAGAAUGAAGGAAAAAUUAAAGAAAGAGGGAGGAAGGAACAGUCAAAACAGACGGAGUCAAUUUGACCCAGGAGGAC